rnacentral:rRNA from 1 species
AUUGAACGCUGGCGGCAUGCCUUACACAUGCAAGUCGAACGGUAACGGGUCCUUCGGGAUGCCGACGAGUGGCGAACGGGUGAGUAAUAUAUCGGAACGUGCCCAGUAGUGGGGGAUAACUGCUCGAAAGAGCAGCUAAUACCGCAUACGUCCUGAGGGUGAAAGGGGGGGAUCGCAAGACCUUUCGCUAUUGGAGCGGCCGAUAUCAGAUUAGCUAGUUGGUGGGGUAAAGGCCUACCAAGGCAACGAUCUGUAGUUGGUCUGAGAGGACGACCAGCCACACUGGGACUGAGACACGGUCCAGACUCCUACGGGAGGCAGCAGUGGGGAAUAUUGGACAAUGGGCGCAAGCCUGAUCCAGCCAUACCGCGUGGGUGAAGAAGGCCUUCGGGUUGUAAAGCCCUUCUGUUGGGAAAGAAAUCCAGCUGGCUAAUACCCGGUUGGGAUGACGGUACCCAAAGAAUAAGCACCGGCUAACUUCGUGCCAGCCGCCGCCGUAA